GACGAACGCUGGCGGUGUGCUUAACACAUGCAAGUCGAACGGUAAGGCCCUUUCGGGGGUACACGAGUGGCGGACGGGUGAGUAACACGUGAGUAACCUGCCCUCAUCUCUGGGAUAACAGCCGGAAACGGUUGCUAAUACUGGAUAUGAGCUUGCAAGGCAUCUUGUGGGUUGGAAAGAUUUUUUUUGGUUGGGGAUGGACUCGCGGCCUAUCAGCUUGUUGGUGAGGUAGUGGCUCACCAAGGCUUCGACGGGUAGCCGGCCUGAGAGGGCGACCGGCCACAUUGGGACUGAGAUACGGCCCAAACUCCUACGGGAGGCAGCAGUGGGGAAUAUUGCACAAUGGACGGAAGUCUGAUGCAGCAACGCCGCGUGCGGGAUGACGGCCUUCGGGUUGUAAACCGCUUUCAAUUGUGACGAAGCUUUUUUGUGACGGUAGCAGUAGAAGAAGCACCGGCUAACUACGUG
rnacentral:rRNA from 1 species